rnacentral:lncRNA from 1 species
CCGGCAAGGCGGACCAUAAAGAAUAUUUAGAAUUUCAAUACGCGAAAUAAGAAUAUUUGCAACAAUCGUAGAAAUCGACGUGUAAACCGAUUAAUUAAGUUUCGAGGAAGAGGCGUGUAUCGAAAGCACAGGAAUAAAUAAAAAUCGAUUUCAAAGUGACCGAUUGUUGAUAAAAAAAAGUCGAGGCUCUUCUUCCUUUUACCGGGUGGAACAAGGUGGAAAAAAGUUGCAUAAGCGAGAUUAAGCAAGGUCGUGUUACACACCGAUAUACCUGGGACGAUGCGGUUGGAACGAUGAUAAAUGUCAGCCAGGAUGCCGAAUAAGCGAACCAGGGACGAAGAUCUAGCGCUAACUAUAUUCACCUUGUCAAGUCAUUCCGACUUGGUAAACACACCACGACAAGUAAUGCCUAAGAUUUUACGGUGACUCGACUUACGACAGAAGCGGCUGUUUAUCACGGUGUCAGAGUGACGCUCGUGCCGUUCAAGACGAUAAAACGAAUGAGCUAUGCGAGGAACACUCUGAGAAAUGGUGUGCCGCUUUCGAGGACCUUUUGUUGCGACACUGAUUUUAAAUUAGAAUUUAUAGGGUGCCUGAAAACGUUUCGACGAGGCCACUGUAUUUACUCGAAGAAUACGUUUAUCCCGAUAAUCUUUUCCUCUCUCUCUCUCUCUCUCUCCUCCUCCUCGUUUUCGUCAACCGAUAUAAACCUGUCCACCGUGAAAAUUGUCACUGCAUCGAACGAAAUAAACUAGUAACGUAAUCGUUACCACUUUCGAUACGGCGACUCUUUAUUCGAAUUUUUAUUUGUUUCUCGAAAAUUUCCAAAAUUUCCUUUCCCUCCUCUCGAAAUAUCGAGUGGGACGGGAUCCGUGAUUUAUUUUCGUCGCACGGAUAUCGAAUCGAAACAACUGGCAACCGUUUGGCAGCGAUUUAGAGCGUGAAAAUUUCAAUCAUGUUACACAUUAGGGGCAUUCCAAUCAUCCGGAUCAGUCGUCGACGCGUUUUAAGCCGCGCAUCAAUCUGUUCGGUUCGAUCGAGGUGCGUCGCGAUGAAAAGACGAAUGCUUACGCGGAUAGGUGCUCUGGCCGCGCGCCAAUGCUGUGCCACCGCUGCGUUUAUUCCGGCCAACUGGUUCGUGCAACGCAUCCUUACCCUCUCCGCCUUUUAUUCCCCAACUGUUUCACCUUUAUUCGCAGCUUAUUCGUGUAUUAAACCUCCGAGAUCGAUGAAACUCCGUUUCGUUUCGUUUCCUUGUCGAAUAAAAUUAAUCAAUUAUUCGUUCUUUAAAGUAGAGAGGAAGGGAUAAAAAUAAAUCGUAUCCCGAAACGUAUUUAUAUAUUUCGAAACAACGUUUCGAAGCGUUUGAAAAUUAUCCAUUUGUUAUUACGUUACGCGCGCGAUUAUGAUGAAAUAUAAGAUGCAAUUUGUGGGACGCAUUAAUGCAAAUGACCCAAAUAUGACAGUUAACUGUUUAUAGGUCGCGAUAAAUAAUGGGCAUUUGUUAACGUGACAACGCGAACAUUAUAUGCAAGGAUCGAUGUACGGUUAGCUUAGCGUUCAUUUCUCUCCAUUAAUCACAUUCAUGAAAUCCAAGUGUGCCUAUGUAAUGGCCUAUUAAUAGGAUAUAAUGGCCAUUACGUUCGCUGACAUGCCACUUAUUGUCGGCGACUGAGUAAUGCGUUAAACGUGGGAUCAUACCCGACCAAAGUGUCACUUUUAUACAUUAGCCGAUAAAAAAUAUAUUUUAUAAAAACGACGAUACGUUGGACACGUGUUACAAAAUGUGUAUUCGAUCGAAAACACGUUCUUCUUCUAUCGUUCUUUAUCAUCGGCAUCGUUUUAAAAAUUAAACGAAAAUUGGCAAAGUUUCGAGAUUACUACAUCUUCUUUCCGUUUUAUUCCGCGGAUAGAGAAAUAUCCAUCCGUGGAUUAAAAGGAAAAAAAUCGAAAAAUCUCCGUUCGAUUUCGUUGGACAAACGAUCCAAGUCGUUUCGAUAGUUUUUUUUAUCCUUAUCACGCCACCACCACGCCACGUUUUCUCUUCGCGGCGUCGAGAAAUAUAACUCGAGCCAAGAAAGUGCAAACGAUAGAAGUCCUCACGCAGUAUCGAGAUCGCGAUAAAUUUUUCCGGGCGGUGGACGAGGGUGGCGGGCGUAUCUUCUUUCAGAAAAUUGUACGGCCGCUCGUAAAGAUAAGUACUUAAUUCCCUGUUUUGCCGGAAAUUGUUUUUCUCCGCAAAGGAGUCCAUUUCGCUUUAUGAAUCGCUCAGCCGACUUUACGCGACGAGUAAAAGCUUAACACCACCGCGAAAAGCUGUUCUCUCUCUCUCUUUACCCUCGGCUUUCCACCACCUGGUAUUCAAACUCGACGACUAUAUUUCCCCUCCUCCUCCUCCUCCUCCUCCUCUAUCUUUAUCCUUGCCUCUUUUUCUUCCUUUCCUUUCCUUUCUUUCUUUUUUUUUUUAUUACUAUUUUUCACGCUUCUUUAUAGAUUAUCAAGUUGUAUAAUCGCCUUCUCUAAUUAUUAUCUUUUGUAUUACAGCUAUCGUAAACUUGAAAUAACGUUACCCGUCAAACCGCUCCAAGCAAUCAUCGUAAAUUACAAAUAGCUGUAUUAUGCUUUCGUUGAUCGCGCACGGUUCUAAGAAACAUUUAGUAUCGUAUAUCACGUGGAACGAUGGUAGGUAGGUAGAUAGGUAGGUAGGUAGAUAGGUAGGUAGGUAGGUAGGUAGGUAGGUAGGUGAAAGUGAAGUCGAGGAACGUAUCCUUCUUCUUUCACCGACUAUAUCUUAAUAAUAUUUAUAAAAGCUCGAGAGAAGAAUAUUCGACUUUGGUGUAUCGUUGUAUUAUUACGACGUUGUACGGCGCGAGAAACGAAAGUAUAAUGGAAAAUUGAUCCGCUUUUCUCGAUUCUCGUCCUCCUACGGAUAAUAAUAAGAACGAUUGUUGGCAAGAAUCGAUGAAAGAAGAAAAGAAAGAAAGAAGAAAAAUGUCGGUUUCUUACUUGUUAAUGAGAAUACCGUGGAGUCCGGCAAGAAAAGGUGGAGAAUAUUUCUACGCACACAGGUUAUUUCCCGCAAGGUUUUGAAAUGCUUCCCCGUAAAACCGGCAAUCAGUCAGUGACUAAUGCUACAAGACUACGGUAGAAAGGCUUCGGUUCUUUGACGCGAGUACGCAUAGAAAUAAAGUGUCGAUGGAAACGAUGCUUGGCGUUGCACCGAGACAUUAAUAGCCUUUAGACACGGAGUAUUUUAUUGCCGGUAACCUUUCAGUACGUGCAAUCCACCAGUUCUGCAGCGUUGGCAACCGUUACCGUCCGAAGGUUCCACAGUUCCUUACAGGCAAAACGUCGGACGAUGCAUACUUAAUGAGCGACUCAAUACCAUGCUUUCUUAAUGCAUGUCGAUUCGAGUAAUUAAUUAUUAUGCCUGACACACGUGAAAUAAGUGUUUGACGUCGGUAUAAAAUUCAUCUAAAUCACUCACGAUUGAUUUCUACGAGUCACGCAUUACCAAUGAUACUACGUCAUUUUAGAUUUACACCACUCUCGGUGUAUAUCGAAAAUUAAAUGUUUACUCGAUUAUUACGCCGUACGCCACUUUUCCUUCGUAUAUAUUAUCCAUCUCGUUAAAUCACUCGGAAUAUCCAUCUAUUACCCAGCGAUGAAAUCUUCGUAAUUGGGCAUAGCAUACAUGCCUGCUUUUCUCUCUUUCUUUUUUUUCCACAAACCUAUUUUUCCUCUUCCUCCUUGUUCUUUUUUUUUUUUUUUUUCGAAUCGACGAUCUCCUCCCUGAAUCUAGCGUGGACCGCUAGAUGUGUCGAAUGGAAAAUCCAAAGAUUCCUCGUACGUUUCGUUCGAGCUUCGAUCAAACGAAGAGGUAUCCCCGGUAAUUGGACGUUAACGAAUAAAGAUAAUACGUGUAAUAAUAUAUACGAUACGCGCGCGGUUAAUUUUUAAUUAAAACCAGCCUUUGCAUCUCGUUAAUUUAUAUAUAUAUAUACACACGUUUAUUAUCGUUUUCUCAUCGUUCGUAUUCCACGUGACUGGUAUCGUCUUAUAUCGUACACGCUCUAUUAAUUUCUUAAAGGACGGUAAGAUAGUUUGUCUCGUAUUACACGAUUCGUAAUGAUAUACCCGCUUGUCCGAUACGUGUUAAAAGCGGUAAUUCAUUUUCACCGUGGUCUUUUUCUCUCGAAAAUCUUCAUCAAGCACGCCAACUUUCUCGUAUAUAUAAAGUAUAUAUAAAGAAAAUACGGAUAAAUAGAUCAUCGUGCAUUUACGCUGCCACUCGUGACAGGAAUUAUGAAUAAAUUUCGAAAUAACCUGUUAUUAACAUCUAUUAAUCAUCGGCUUCCGUGACGUUGACGUUCGUUCCUACCAACAUAAUUGCACCACCGAUGUGUUUAACCGAAAGAUAAAGAUCGAGAGAUAUUACGUAACGCGCUUCGUUAUUUCUUUAUACACCUCGAUCCUCCCCCCUUUUUACUUACUUCGAACGAAACGUGGAAACGCGUCUCGGACAUUUCUUUCUCGAAACAACGAUACGAUACGCCUGUCGCUGUGGAAAACACGCGACAAUUUAUUCGCAAGUGGAAUAAUAUACGCGUUUCACGCGUAAUCACACGCGUGAAGUUAGCUAAACUCCGACUAAUCUAGGAUCGUACGAGUUGGUAAACGAUUGUAUAUAAUACGAUUCGAUCGACGAAAUUUGUACAAUUGAAGAAUUUUCGAUAUGGAUAAAUAGUUAUUUACCUUGCGCGAUAUGUCUCGUGUAUUUAUAGUUGGGAACGUUGACGUAUUACACGCGGCCAUUAAUGGUGAAAAUGUCACAAAGAGAUUUAUCGAACGUUAUUUACCAUUAUUGUUGUGGAUAUAGUUGUCGCGGUGGACGGAUAGCGUGGAUGGUAUCGCGAGGAAAAACUCGUGGCUCCAUCACUCAUUUCGCGCUACGCGUCAUACGUGUUACAAAAUCCUUCGUAAACAUUUAUCCCCGGUGAUGGUUUUUCCGAUGUUGGACGGAGUUUUCGUUCAGAAGUAAAGAGGGAGAAAGAAAGAAAGAGAGGAAGAAGAAUGGAGCAUUCGAAUGAUCGAAAAGAAAAGGAGAGAGAGAGAGAGAGAGAGAGAUGGAAGAGGAAAAAGCGGUGCAGACGGAAGCAGAGGUUCGGCGGCGCGCGAUAAAUUAAUGGGCGGUCGUCAUUGCGCUCAUACACGGCUCGUACAGGCAUGCGGACACAUCGUAACGCAUCGUUUGUCUUCUCAUUAUAAAUGUGAGCCACCGCUCUACCGCACCGGUGACAGUCGGCCGAAAUAAAUUGCCACGCGUUACGUUUGUACUUUCGUUUUAUAUUUAAAACGACUACACAGGGGAAGGCUCGUGCGGUCCCACCGCCUCCAGACAAAUUGCCCAUUUGCAUAAUGCCGUUAUUUAUUAAUGAUCGCGAUACAGCCACUUCCGAUCCUACAUAAAUACCCACCUGCGGCGUCGGCCAAUCGACACAACCUUCUAAUUCGACGCCCGCUCCACAAAUUUAUAUUACCGAUUCGUUCCUCCUAUUAUUUCCACCUUUGAAACGCGCAUCCUUUCCAACUCACGAUCCCUUUCUCGUUCUCGACACCGAUUAAUAAACAACAAUAUUCGCGAGGAUGAGAAGAAAUAUUUCGUAUCGAAUGAAACGCGUGAUCGAAAGGAACAAAGUUUUGCUUAGCAAUAGAACGCAUUAUUUUCUAUGUAAAACGGAUCAAUGAAAUAAUAAAUCGAAGAAGAAGAAGAAGAAGACGAAUGGAAAAGCGCGCACGAAUAAUUUCGAAAGUUUUUUUCCUUUUGCGAAUUUUUCUUCGUUCCUCAUCGAGGAUUUAUGUCGACGAGUUUCACGUACAACGGGUUUUCGUACGAAUAUCGUAGCCUGUGUCAGCUUCCUGGUUACGCGAAUUAUAUAUAUCGAUAACAGAACGAGCAUCUGGACACGUGGAAAAAGAAGAUCGAAGGCAUAAACGCGAAAAACCUGUUCGUUAAAUGUAACGCAUCGCGUGUCGUUCGAGGAGAUCGGGCAGAAGAAAUAUGAAAUGGGACGAGUAUUUAUGGCGAAGAAAGAGAGAGAAGAAAGAGAGAGAGAGAGCGUUGCAAAAAAGGUGUACGGGUACGCGAUGGUUGAUAUAAUGGGUAAACGAAAGGAGAAUGGCGAAGGGAAAGAAAAGGCGAAAUGUAAAAUAUCGAGGAAGGAGUGGAGUGUACGUACGAGUGUCGGAGUUUGCGCGACUUGGUGGCGUAACCAAGAUAUACGACCGUUUUCCCCCAAAAAAGUGUUAAGGAAUUAUGCUUCGCGGAGUAAAUGAGAUGUGUCUGCGCCGGGACAUAGAUCACGGCCGCGCUAUCCGUUCUCACCACCGUGGAAAUAAAUACGAUUUUCUCGACGGCGAAAGAGACUAGGGUUUGGAAAGGAGGAGGAAAGGAGGUGGUGGCAGUUGGAACGGAGCAAGCGGAUGGAGCGAGAGGAUGGCACGAGUCGGAAGGGGAUAGGAGAAUAGGUCUCCUAGCGGGCCGCAUCCCGCGCCACAUCUUUCUACCCGACACACGAGGGAUCCAACGUAGCCAUUUCUCUGCCCCGUUAUACGCCUCCUAUAUACGUAUCUACUACCCCCCCAACACCUACCUACACCCGGCAAAUAAAUUGAUCCAUUACUCAACCGAGCAGUCAUCUUCCUUCCUUUCCCUCCCUUCGCUCUUCUCUCGCCGCCGUCGCCGCCGUCGUCGCCACUACCACCAUCACCACUACUACCGCCACCACCACCGCCCUUUUUCCUUCGCGCUUUUCCGGGAAUGCUGCCAGAGAUUCGGCAAAGCCCCUUUCACGCCCUGUUGCAGAGACGAUGAUACGCCGCGAUUUACUCACCCGAGUCCGUCUCUUCUCACCCACGGAACCGGGAAACCGGGAAAUUGAUGCCACUUCCAAAGGAUUCACCGCCGUCUUAUGCCAAUUUAUUCCGUAUCAUCUCGAUUUCACCUAUAUUCGAAUUAAUCUUUCCUUCCACCGGGAUCUCUCUCUUAAAAUUGUGAUCAAUUUGUCGCAAAAAGUUGCAUCGACUUCACCCUUUUGCUCUAAGAUGUGACGAUCCUGUUAAACAGUUGAGAGUGGAUUCGCGGAAAAUGAAUUUUGCUGAUUCGAAUUAAGAAAGUAAUGGAUCGAGAUCGCGUCUCGGUCGGUAACUAAUGUAUCCGUCGAUGUCCUCCUCGGCCACGUUUCAUUAUCCGGGCUUAGUUUUCUGUUGCUCGCAAUCAACAUCCGGAUCAUGUUUUAACGACUAUUUCGCGUGUGUAAAUUGGUAUAUAAUUCAGUCUCGCUACAUGAUUUUCCUUGUGCUGAUGAAAUGACUUACCGCUUUCAUUGUUACAUACGUCCAUCCGCGUUGGUUAAUUAAACAAGAGAUUAAUUAACGCGCUUCGAAUUUCCUGUUUUAUACAAUUGCUAAUUUGUAAAAUAUCAAACCGCGACUCGUUAUCUCGGUGGAACCGAGAGAGAUGCUUUCAAGCUUCGUUGCUCGAAAUAAAGUAUCAAACUUUUUUAACUCCGGGGUAUACCUGAUACCUUUUAAAUAAUACUCGCCCGAUGAUUUACGGAUUCUCUUACGGAUAUAUUUUAAUCUUAAUUAUCGUUUCGCACAAUUUCGAACACACCGAACACGAAUUCUCUCGAUAUUUCUUAUUAUCUCGCGUUUCUCUCGAAAAAAGGAGGGAGAGAGAGAGAGAGAGAGAGAGAGAGGAAAAAAAGAAGCAUAAACAUCAUACGCGUCAAUUUGCAUAUUUAAACGUCGAAUAAAUUUAAAUAAUCGGCCUCUUUGGAAAACCAAUUAUCGUUAUUUCUUUUUUUUCUCUCUCCCUCUCUCUCUCUUUUUUUUUAUUUUUCGCGUUAAUAUCACGAUCCCGCGUUAUUUAUUGUGCACGUAUAUAUCCACGGAUUGGAAUAAUUUAACAGGGAAUAGAAAGCAAAUGGAUGGAAUAAUAAUUUUUUUCCCCGAUUCGCGCGUAAAAUUAUUAUCCUCCCCCCCCCCCCCUCUCUCUUUCCCUAUUCUUUUUUAUCGAACGACCACUAUCGAACGAUUAAACCUGUAGCUGUUUGCAUAUCCGGUUUAUGUUUCAAUCUGGUUCCAUCAAUAUGAAUAAACACCGGCAUGUGAGGUAGCUCGGCGCUGCAUUAAUAUGUAUUGGCAAUAAAUCGAUAUCGAUAAUUAAAAUCUGUGCCUGCCAUAAGGCCUUUGGACGUGAGCGCGUUUAUAUAAAAGUUCAAUUUGUUAUAUGUAACUGCGCGAGAGAUGACUAUAAAUAUUGCGUUACCCUUUUUAACCGGGGCUCGUAAAUCCCCGUGAUUUAUAUCCCCCCCCCCCUCCCCUCCCUCCCGUUGACUGUCCGUAAAGCGUGUGAAGGGGUCGAGGUUUUACGUAUCGUUGCACGUAUCGUCCCACGAUUUUCAUAUUUCUUCCCGCCAGAGACAAAAGCCAGUUUUCGUUUUCCGUUUAAUUUACGCGAUCGAUGAUAACGCGCGAACGUCAACGCGCAUUUACACACCGCGAGAUAAAUACCGCGAGAAACGUGAUCAUCACCGUCCAAUUAAUCCCGUACGUAUAUAUAAUUCCAAGAUCGAAAAUGGAUUCGCGCCGACCCAAGUUUAAAUCUGUCACGAAUCGAAACUUUUCAAUUUCCCUCUCCGUCUCUCUUUUAUUUAGGAAUAUCGAGCUGAUAAUUAAGGAUAAUUAAGGUAAAGGAGAAAUGAAUUCUUCGCAGGAUGGAUACGGAUAUUGGAUAUCGUGGGUGGGGCGAAAAAAUAUUUUCGCAGGCAGAUGCGUUGUAACGGGGCCAACGAGUUUGAACAUCAGUCACGAAAAAGAGAGAUUAAAAAAAGGAGGUAGGAGAGAAGACGAAAAAAGUCCGGGAGAUGGGUUGUCCGAAUGAGUGGGUUGAGCGAGUGAAUGACAGAUAGACAGCAACCAGACAGGAGACUGACAGUACGGCGGCGGGCUGACAGCUUGCCACUCUGCCGGCCGUUCGCAACAUCCAGUAUUACCGACUACCGUACGUGUUGAUCCUUGUCCCAUUCAUCGACAAAAAGCGAACCAACCCCCGAUUUCGUCCCAUCUCCCUCUCUCUUUCUCUCUCUCUCUCUCCAGGAUCGAUGAUCAUUUUUCAGGGAACAACCAUCGCCAACACCAGCUCGCUCCAGUUUUGUUAUUAAUAAUAUCUAUCUCUAUCUCUAUCCAUUUCCAUUUACGAGUAUUUUUUCUAUUUCCAUCGUACGAUCGCUCGAAACAAAUAUCGUCUCCUUGAGGAUUGAAACGAAAAGGAAUCGGAAAGUCGGUAUUAAAAGAUAUUAAUCUGGAGCUCGCGUAAAAUGAAUUACAGGAUUCGUUAGGGAGGCGUUAUCGUUGAAUAGGAGCGGCAGUUCCAAGAAAGUACGAAUUACUGUCAAAAGUAAACCAAAGUAGGGUAUACUUAUGACUACAAAUUAAGUAUAAUUCCGACGGUCGUAAUAACGUAACAACGGGCCGCUACGUAAUUAUUCGGCGUAAUCGGCAACAGCCCGGAGCGGUGUACUUUAACUACCUUUUAAAAUUGCGCUUAAAUUACAGUACAUACGAUAUUUGAGGAAUAUCAUUCACGUGCACGCCGCUAAAUAUAUUUUCACGUACGGAGGAAGGUGUUUGGGAUAUCGCGUUGAAAACACCGCGUGUGCACGUUUCGUUCGAGAUAAAUUAAAUGAAUCGCUGUGUAAAAAAAGAAUUUGCCGUAUUUUCAACAUAUUGCGUACGUUCCUCCUGUAUAUUUACCGUCCUUAUCCUUAGAUAAUCCAUCUAUUCACCUUUCUUUUUUCAACCGAACGUGUAAAUAAAUCUUACCGAGAGAUAUCCAUCGUCGAGAGAGAGAGAGAGAGAGAGAGUUUGUAAGCGAAGGAGGGAAAAGGAGGAAAAAGUAGUUGGACGAAUUCACGACGGAAGUUCUCGCGAUGAUGCGAGUGAGAAUAAUUAAUCAACGUUCGCUAGAAACGUACGUAUAUAAUUACGUUGGAGGAGAGGAGGGGGGGGGGGGCAAAACGUCGCAACCGAUUUAAUCGGUUACUCGCGAUCACGCUUGUUAGAGUUUACGAGGAAACGGAAGUACAAAAAACUCGCAAAUUAUGAAGAUAAACAUGCAGCCCGUACGUAAAAAAGAUUAUUAUCUCCUUUUCCACUCUUGCGUCUUGCUUUUCGUUAAAACUUGAUUUAUACUUUCUUUCGAAUAUGAGAUGCGAGAUUACCAUUAGAUAUCGUAAUUAUUGCUGAAUUAUUUUCCGCUUUACGUGUCAAUUAUAAUAACACGAUAUUUAUUCUUUCGAUUAAAUAUUUACGCCAGUUUGAAACUUAACGCGCUCGUUAAAAAAUAAAAAAAGAAAAGAAAAAUAAUAAUAACAACAACAACGUUUGUUUAACGUUAAUUAAAAGAAAGAGAGAGAGAGAGAAAAGAGAAGAAACGUUUAAUUUUCGAGGUCACGCGAGUUUCGUUACGGCUACAAAUCAUUCAACGCGUUAUUAUUCCUUGUUUCGUUAUUAUUCGCUAUAUUUUAACGAACGCGUUAUAUAUUCCCGAAAUAUACCUUUCUUUCGUCCCCACUUUUUUCUCUGCAACUUGGAUUUAUAACAAAUUUACAAAAUACACGAAUACAAGAAGAUUCGACUGCAGAUUUAUCAUUUCGCACAAACCGAUGACGUUAUAAUUGGAAAGGAAGAAAGCGAAGCGUUGCGAAACGACGACGACGACGGACGAGUCGAAGCUCGAAAAGCGGAGGAAACGAGAAUGGAAAGGAAACGGGGAAAUAAACGCAGGAGCUUAGAGGGAGGCGGCGAAGGAGAGGCGAAGCGGGCGCCGCGCGUCUCCCCCUUUUCCUCGCCGUGGCGUGCACACACACACACACACACACACACACACACACACACGUCUCUUCUCUUCUCUUCUCUCCUCCGCUCGCUAGGCAGGUGAGCAGCUCUCCGUUGGCUGUUCGUGGUGCGGGUUACCAUUAUGUCUACAACCUUGAAUUAAAAUGCCGUAUAAUGACACAGCUAGGCAGCCUGUAUAAUUUAUGUCCAUAAAAAUAAAAUCAUAAUUACAGAGGCGCGGACUGCGAAAAGACGGUAAUAAUAUGGCUGGCCGGUGUGCUCGUUGCGUGCUCAGCGCGUGUAUAUCGCGUUCGUUCCUUCGUUCCUCGAUGCUUCUCGCUCUCGUUAUUGUUACCGUUCCCGUUAUUCCGCUCCGUGUCGCAAUGCGUUUUGCGUUUUCGCGCACAGAUGCGAUAACAGGAUCGAUUAGAUGGGGAAAAAUGGGAUGUCGUUACGCGUGUCUGUCGCGAUAUCUGCGAACGCGUGAGAAAGAUAAGAAAGAAAGACAGGAGAAAAGAAGAAAAAGAUGAAUAUGUAUAUAUAUAUAUAUCGAGCGGAGGAGAGGAAAAUUAAUAAACGCGGAGGGGAAAAAUUAAUGGCGGCGAAAACUUGGGUUCGACGACAUUAAUCUUACGUGGCAAAGUGGGAAGGACGGUUGGGCUUUUCCAACUACGCGGCCAGAAAGAAAUCGUUUCAGCUCCGUUUCUCACCGUCCGCUCGUAGCGCGAAUCGUCAUGAGACUCUGAAACGCGAACGGAAAGGCGAUGCGAGAUCGCGUUGAUGAAUGCCCCCAUUACACGAACACCGCUAGUUACUCCUCGGAGAUAAACCGCCUUCAUUACUCACUUUCUGGCGUGACCUUAUUCCCCCCUACGGCCUCUCUCUCUCUCUCUCUCUCUCUCUCCUCCCUCUCCUACCUCCCUCCCUCCCUCCCUCCCCUCUACCCGCCUUCUUUCCAACGCUCGCUCUCCAUCCUUGCCUCUCUCACGGCUAUUAAGUUAACGCGAAUUAAUAACGCAGGCUUUUUCUAGUCAACAGCCGUUUUCUUGCGCCGAUAUACAGGUAUUUUAGCGGAUAAUAAAUUUUCACCUCGGGGGAAUAUAUAUAAUCCCCGCGAUGCGAAAGCGCAAGCAUCAAGGGAUGGCGCACUACUACCACUCUUAACAGAUUGGAUCGUUUGUCUUUCCUUUCGGGUCUUGCCCCGAACAACUGCGUUACGUUAUAGAUACGUAUAUUAAUGCGACGAUGCAAUUAUCAGUGGGUAGGUAGACACGACCUACUUUGUCUUUUUUUUUUACCGUUCGUUACACGGCUACGCGAUCAUUUUUCAACUUCUGAUUUACGGCUUGAUUAUCGAGAAGCGGAAAGUUUAUCGGUAUUCGUUAACGAGAGAGGUAAGCCGAUAAAUUUCCAAACGAUCGCCGAACGGCAAAACCGCUUUGCGACUUUCUUGCAGGAUCGAAACUGUACGAGUGUUCUUCUAACUUCUAACUUUUGUUUUUGAAAUCGCGCUUUAUUUUUCGAAUUUUAUUCUUACUUUUCUCUCUCUUUCUUUCUCCUCUUUGCUAAAAUAAUUAAUCACGAAGCUAGGAAGGGUAUCUCUGUUUUCCUUUCACGAUCAUCUUAUGUUCAGAGGAAACGAAAUUGUACCAAGUUUACGAAAUUUAUUCGUUUCGCAUUCUAAAUUCGCGCGCAUUUGUCAAUAUCGUUCAAAUAAAUAUCGGGCAAUUACGCUUAAUGGGUCACGAUACGAGUUUAAUGAAACCAGUACACGCUUAAUUGGAUAUUAAAUUAACGACCACGACGUGUGAAUCAAACAAAACACUGUAAAUCCGGUUAAAAGAGAAAUGAUAAUUUAUGUCUCGCUAGUGUAUUUUUGCGAUAAAUUAAUAUAUAUAUAUAUAUAUAUAUAUUUUUUUUAAUACCUCAUCGAUGCUUGCACUUUGAGAUAAUUCAUAGAUUAUUUACGAGCGAGCCUUUUCUUUUCAAAAAAGAAAAAGGAAACAGGAAGGGAAGAAAUUGGUAUUUAUCGAUACAUCUCGUAUAAACAAGAGUACCGAUAUAAUUAUACGAUAUAAUUACAAGGUUCCCGAAGAAAAAUUGUAUCCAUUUUCUUCUCCUCGUUUUAUUUUACAUCGAUACGUAUUAAUUACGUCGUUUAGCAUUUAACGUUUUCGAGUUUAGCCGUUCACAAAGAUCGUUCGCGCCUUUUCCCUUAUGAAUAUUUAUUCCCAUGAAUUUUCAUAAUUAUCGCUGGCGAUAAUUUAAUAAUAACGGCCAAUUAAUUACGAUCAGACCGUAGCAAUAUAAUCGGAUCAAGAUCUGUAUCCGCGAGGCAUAAAAUACACAUAUAUAUACAAUUUCGAUAUAUAUUUUCGAAAAACUCUCGCUCUUCCUUAAUAUCCUUUUCCCCGUUAUAAGGAGAGAGAAAGAGAAAGAGAGAGGGAAGGAUUUGGAAUCGCGAUAACGAAGAUAAAAUCGCGGGUAACGCGCGUGCGCGUCGCGUCUACCACGGAAUAUGCAAGAAUAUUUAACACGGGAGGGGGAUAGGGUAGGGAAUGGGAUGGCCGCAGAAAGAAUAUUUAACACGGCGCGGCGUGGCGCGACGUCGCGCAUACCCGUCCAUCUUCAUACGUCGUAGGUUACACGGUUACAUUAGUAGGAAUGUCACGAUAACGAACGCCGGUACACCGUCAGCGGUGGAGACGUCUUCCUGUUUCUGGGGGAGUGGGGCGGCGCGGGCGCUGCGUGGCGCGAAUCCCCGAGCCACGUCGGCCUUCUUUCGCCCUACGCCACUGCCUGUAUCCGAUAUUCCAGCCACGACCGCGAAAAACAAAACGCGCAGGGGAAUACGUUCCCCGCAUAUGCGUCUCGCGUGUUUCGCUCGCUGGAUUCAUUUUGGCCGGGACAUUCCGCUGUCACCGCGACGUUAUCGACCAUCGGUAAAACGUUUCGCCCGAUCGAUAAACCAUGAAUCCGCAAUUUACGGGAAACGCGAGCGAUUCGUUUGCGCACCCGCACCUUUUUUUUUUUCCCCCUUUUGUUCCGAUCGACGUGCAUAUUUUCCUCUCGUCUAAAAUAUAUGAAAAAAUAUUUCAGUACAGGCAGCGUAGCAAUGGAGAAGAAAAGACGAAUACGAGAUAUAUACGGAUACAGUAUUCGAUUCUCGUUCGACGCCAAUGCGGAAAGAGAGAGAGAGAGAGAGAGAGGGCAGGAGUAGAGUCGAAAUGGAAUAAACUAACCGUCGUUUUCCUGACGACAGGCGAUACGUCACUGUGACCAAUUCACAAUAGAGCAUUACACCCCGAGACCGGGACGACAAUAGUUAUCUCCGGGAUGUACGAACGUGUAGGUGGUUAUUAUUCGCACGCGCACACGUGUCACCGGAGCGACGGCGACAAGUAGCGGCAUUGGCGCUGCUUGAAACGCGAGUUUCGAGUAGCCGUUGCGGAAGCACCUCGACACACCGAGCUUCGCUCAAUUACCGUCCCACUUAAUGCACUCGCGCGGUGAUUCACCGCGUGCCACCCUCUCCUCCCUUCCCUCUUCGUCUUCCGUUCCGAAACCGGGUAAUUUUUCAUAUUCGCGUCUCUUUCACCUCUUCCUUAAUUCCAAUUAGACUCGUUGCUAAUUACCGCUCCGAUUACCAUCAUCGCCGAUGUAUAAA